rnacentral:rRNA from 1 species
GGAAAGGUGAAAAGCACCCCGGGAGGGGAGUGAAAAAGAACCUGAAACCCUGUGCCUACAAGCACCUAGAGCGCGUCAAAGCGUGAUAGGGUACUUUUUGUAGAACGGUCCGGCGAGCGAUUGUAUGCAGCAAGGUUAAGGACUUAAGGUCCGGAGCCGAAGCGAAAGCGAGUUUGAAAAGGGCGUUAAGUUGCAUAUAAUGGGCCCGAAACCGGGUGACCUACCCAUGGUCAGGUUGAAGUGGAAGUAAAAUUCCAUGGAGGACCGAACCGACCUCCGUUGAAAAGGCGGCGGAUGAACUGUGGGUAGCGGAGAAAUUCCAAUCGAACCCGGAGAUAGCUGGUUCUCCCCGAAAUAGUUUUAGGACUAGCCUCAAGUUAGAUACCUGGAGGUAAAGCACUGAAUAGCCUAGCGGCCGAGAGGUUAGCGAAGCUUAUCAAACUCAGAAUGCCAGAGUAUUGAUGCUUGGGAGUCAGACAGUGUCAGAUAAAUGUCAUUGUCAAAAGGGAAACAGCCCAGAUCUACAGCUAAGGUCCCAAAGUCAGGUUAAGUGGAAAACGAUGUGAAGAUACGCAGACAACCAGGAUGUUGGCUCAGAAGCAGCCACUCAUUCAAAGAGUGCGUAAUAGCUCACUGGUCGAGCGUCUUUGCGCGGAGAAUUUAACGGGGCUAAACCUGACACCGAAGCUUAGGCAAUACAGCAAUGUAUUGGGUAGGGGAGCGUUGUAUACGCGGUGAAACAGUAGCGCAAGCGGCUGUGGAGUGUAUAGAAGUGAGAAUGCCGGAAUGAGUAGCGCGAAUGCAGUGAGAAUCUGCAUGGCCGAAAGCCUCAGGUUUCUGGAGGAAGGUUCGUCCGCUCCAGGUUAGUCGGGAGCUAAGGUGAGGCCUAACGGCGUAGCCGAUGCACAGACGGUAGAGAUUCCGUCACCACCAAAAGAGUUAAGCACAGGGACACAUUUGAAGUCUCGGAGCCGGGUGUUGGUUCCGGUAGCGAUCGAGGGAAGUUAGUACCGAAGUCUGAGAUGGAAGAUGGCGAGAAAAGCUGUGUGUAUUUCUGCGGUGCCCGUACCGCAAACCGACACAGGUAGGUAGGAAGAAGAUUCUAAGGCCAACGGGAGAAGGGUUGUUAAGGAACUCGGCAAAUUGACCCCGUAACUUCGGGAGAAGGGGUGCUCCAGAGAUGGAGCCGCAGAGAAUCGGCCCAAGCAACUGUUUACCAAAAACACAGGUUUGUGCUAAAUCGAAAGAUGACGUAUACGAGCUGACGCCUGCCCGGUGCUGGAAGGUUAAGAGGAGAUGUGCAAGCAUUGAAUCGAAGCCCCAGUGAACGGCGGCCGUAACUAUAACGGUCCUAAGGUAGCGAAAUUCCUUGUCAGGUAAG